GUUCAAGCUGUGAGCUAAUUCCAGGUAAGCCAGGAUUUUAUUACUCAAAGUAUUUUUAAUAAUGCAAUAGUGGAAUGCAUACUAAUUGUUACCUUGUUCUGUCACUGUCGUGUUUCUUUGUUGUUUAUUAUGCAUUUUUAAAAAGCUCUGGAUGUAAUGCUUCACUUAUAGGAAUAGAUACUAGCUUCACAAUAAGCAGUUUCCUAUUCAUUUCUUCAAACCUAUCAUUUAAAAAGAUUGGUUUGAAAAUCCGUUUUCCUGGACUCUAAAUGCAUAGUUGGCAGUCAAAUUCUAGAGUGAAGAACUCUUCUUUGCCACAUGCACCAUACAUCUGCCAUUGAUAAAUAUGUCCCAAUUAAUGAAAAAAAGUCUCAAACCAUGAUAGCAGACAAAGACCACCAAAUAAAAGGAGUUGGCUCUUACUGCUUCCAGUGUUUCAGAGACAUCCAAAUGUAAUUUUACAAAAACAGUACAUACAUUUAUCAAACAGAAUUUUAUAAGAAUGGAAGUGAGCAGUCCUUCCCACCACCUUUUUCACUGUUAAAAUUAAUGCUGAUGGUUUGUUGUAAUUUUUGAUAAGCUCUGUGUCUGACAGCAAGUUUCUUGCAUAUCAGCCGGUUGAGGUUUUUGAUCAUUUUGGUAGGAUCCAGCUAUAAAACCAGUAUUAACUACCCAAUUAUGGUCUAUGGAAGGCAACUGUUUGGGUGGGGGUAUUAAUAACAUAAGGGGGGAGGACAUGCCACUGUCCACUCCCCAAUCUCCUAAAUGUUGGGCCCCUAACCCUAGGUUAGGGAGUCUAAUAGCCACUCCCCAAUAAAAUAAUGCCCUAGCUACCUCCCUCAUUCUAAUAAUAGGGAGAAACCAAUAAAUCUAACUCCUGUAAAAAAGAUGUCUUCUAUUCUUUAUCCCCUAAAAAGGCUGGGAAUAUUCCCAAGCAAGUCUUGUGAAAGCUCCCUGAUUGGUUGGCUUCUUUUUUUAUUUUAAUAGUCGGAUUAUGUGAUUAUUUUAUUAUUUUCAUUUGUUAUUAUUUAGCCUUUUGGGGGGCUGAAGAAAAGACUUCUGAUGGCAAGUAUAAGCUUUACUUUGAACUUAUUUUUUUUUUUUUUUUUUUAGAAGUUAGAUUUAUUGGCCUCCCACACUACUAUUUGGGGAGAAGCAAGGGGCUUUGGGACACAUAGAUACCAGGAAGGAAGGGAGGAAGAGGAUCCCCAAACUUUGUGGAAUGGACAAUAGCAUAUCCACCCCAUAAGUAAAUACCCCCACCCAACAAAGGCACCUUUUAUCAGCUCCUACCUGCCACCAACAGGUUUAGCAAGUCCCACCUGUAACGGCACCCCCAGGCAUAAAAGGGUUAAACCGCCAUUUAGAAGAUCUUCCCCUUCCAAAGACACAGGCAGCUACUGUAGACACCAAUCCACCGAACCGGAGAAGCAUAUGAAUGAUGUAAACAGCCGAACCGGAACCAUACAAAUGCUGUAAACAGCCGAAUAGGAAACACCAUACGAAUAGGUUUACACUCCUAGCAGUCAAACUGGAACAGCAUACAAUAAAUCCCCCCAAGAACGAGACAAAACAUUAGUACCACCGACAGGGUUUUGGAACACAACCAAUAAACACAUACAAUACACUCAGACACUCCUACACAAAACCCUCCCCUCUGCCUGUGAUACAAUUACCUUACACAAUGGGUAAUGUAAUUAUCACAAGCAGAGAAAUAAAAUUUUUCCACAUUAUUCAUAACUUGAAAAGUAUGCAUCACAUUGACAUAAAACUUACAUCAGAAUCAGCAUACUCCAAAUACAAACAUAUGUCAAAAUCAUCCAAAUUGGUCCAGUGGUUCAAAAGAUAGAUCGUAGUCCUUUGUGACCAAAGGAAGCAUGGCUUUUCUGCCCAAAACCAGUUCCACAGAGUCUUCUAUCCUGGAGAUAAUUGGAAGUAAUCCAAUUUUCUCCAAGGACAGAGGCAAAACUCCAUUAAGCACAUGGCAGUAAAAAGACAGUACAAUACAAUAAAAUACAGAAGGUUAUAUUUAUUACAUAAAAUACAGACAUGCAACAUAUCCCCAGAUAGCUUAGGUCUGAGCGCACAUUUUUACUGAAUGGCGCUCAGACCACACACAUACAGUUCAAUUGCCAUGGAGCCAAAGUCUUUUAUUACACGAAUAGGCUCCAUGGCAUAGCUAUCUGGGUUAAAUGAGUUCAUUCAGUAAAUCCAAGAAUCUACCGAACGCCAGGGCAGAAAUACAGGAAUAGACCUUUCUGCAUCGGAAAAUAAAGUAUUUAAAUGCCGGUCCAUAGCAGUGGCGGAUCCAGGGGGGGGGCAACGGGGCAAUUGCCCCCCCCGAGAAAUCCGCCGGUCUCCCUCCCCUGCCAGCCCUGCAAUGUGCCUGCGGACCGGGGAGGAAGAUCACAGAUCUCCCUCCCCGGUCCGCAGGCACUGUGCUGACAGCCGGCAGGGGAGGGAGGGAGUGAGAGGGGGGACCCGGAGCUCAGCCUGCAGCUCCUCCGGGUCCUCCUCACUCGAGAUUUGGAGCGUUGCCGCGGUUACCACGGCAACGCUCCAAAUCUCGCGAGAGUGAACUCUAGCCCGGGAGCGCGGGCUAGAGUGCACUCUCCCCACUGGGACCACCAGGGAAUAACUCACCGGACCACCAGGGAAAUGUCCCCCCUCCCCCCAGUAAAGGUAAGAAGGGAGGGGGGACAUAAUGAUUAUUUAUAUUAAACUAAAUUAAUAAAAUAUAUAUUUUUUUAAAAAGCACCCUACCCUUAUCUCACACACUGAUCCCCAUACUGCCCCCCCCAUACACCCAUACUGCCCCCCAUACUGUCCCCCCAUACACACAUUGCCCCCCNNNNNNNNNNNNNNNNNNNNNNNNNNNNNNNNNNNNNNNNNNNNNNNNNNNNNNNNNNNNNNNNNNNNNNNNNNNNNNNNNNNNNNNNNNNNNNNNNNNNAAUUAAUCAGCACACCAAAAUUGGAAUUUAAAUCCACAAAGAGCACAUAAAGAUUCAAUAUUUAUUCACUUAUGAGCCAGUAAAAUAGUUCUCACACACACACACACACACACACACACACACAAAUCAAUUUGAAAAUCAUGUUGGGAUUAAAAUUUUAUUGGAAGUGGCGAUCCACUAGGUGGCAGAUAUGAGAAUUCCUUAGGUAUCUGUACACACAAGAAUUCAAUUGCAGAUAAUUUAUAAAAUCUAGGCUUCUCAUGUAAAAGGUUCUGGAGCAUUAACAAAGACCAUUAUAUUGUGUUGCUGGCAGGUUAUAUUUGAAAAUCAGAAAAAUCUCAAUGUAUUUUUCCUGUAAGGCACUUUAUAAAACAAAACUGCAAAAAAGUGUGGUGCACCAUUAAAAAAGUGUGGUGCACCAUUAUGAACAAUAAAUAAAUAAAUAUAUAUAUAUAGCGUGGUCACACCAAAUUUAAAACUUGGUAUACAUACGUUAGAAUAUACUUCUUGUUCAAAGUAUAAAUACAGCAUUCAGGAUAGAGAUAAAAAUCUUCAGGUAUUUAAUCACUUGAAUAAAAAAAAACAUAGAAAAACAACAUAGCUUAAAUCCACAAACAAAUGGAAUAAAAAUGGGGAAUACCAUUGCACUCACAAACAUAAAAUAAAAACAGGCACAUCAGAAGGUCCAAAGACCCUUCUACCAUAUACAGCAGUGGUCCCUCUGCGUAAGUCCCGGUUGGAGUCCGGCCGGGUUGGUGAAAUAUUGCCAAAAGUCAGCAGGGUGUAGGUGUGAUGGAAUUCCAGUAAAAUAAAAGUUUAGCAGGCCAAGAUUGCCACAAGGCAUAUGUAGGUACAUGUGUUUGUAGUAUCAGUUAGUUAGUUACACGUAGCUAAGAUACUGUCAUCAAUGUACUGAGCAUGUGCAGGAAUGCAGGAACUGGAAUUACGCGUCCCUCUCCUUUGUUUCAGUUGAGCCACGUGGUUAGACCGGAUGGAUGAGUUUAGACUCUGUUCAUUGAUUAGGUUAAGAGUAUGUGUGGGCGUAGCUAAUUAUGGGAGGAGCUACAGUGCUAUAUAAGGAAUGUACUCUCUGUAUUCAGUGCUCAGAAUUUUGGAACAGCAGUUCAUCUGAGACCCGAUCGGUAAUGUGAAUAAAGACCUCUUACUUCCUGAAUACCUGUGUUCAGCUUCUGCACACUUACACGGUUACAUCUCUGGUGCAUUGGCAGCGGGAAGCUCAUCGUCACGGUAGCUGAGACAGAGACGUGAGACGGUAGAUCUUUACCAAUGUUCUCCACGGCAGCACCCCUGGACUUCUGCAUGGACCUCCUUUCGUCUCGGCACCACUGGCCUUUUGUCCAGGAGAUCAUCGGCUUCUGCACAGUGAGUACCAGGGUGUUCCGUCGAUGAGUGUGAACCCAGGUCCAGGAACCAACAGGUAAGACUGAUACCGUUAGAGCGGUAGACCCACAAAGGGUUUUAUAUUUGGAACCGGUUAUUGGAAUUGGCCCCUUCCCUCUGAAAGGAAGUAGCGAAGGCGCAACGCUUUUCUGGACAUUAGAUGCUCUGUAGUCAGCCUGUCUAAUAUAGGUGGUAUUGUCAGACUGAGUUCUGGUGUAAAUUGCUCAUGUCGGACACCGAUGUCCUGCCUUGACUAGCAUACUAGGUGUAAAUUUUGGUUGCUAGGUCGGGGAGAUCGGCGAAACUAAGCAGACUCCGUUGUAUAUUAUAGUUUGCUAGAUUUCACCCUAUCUUAACUAAGUGUGCUCUGUUGUAAAUCCAGCCACUAGAUUAUUGAUAGUGUAAUAGACUAAAAGGGUAUUGGUGUAAAUUCUGCCCUCUAGUUCGCUAUACGUGGUGUCUGGGCAGCGAAGAACUUAUCGAAUCUCUGGUGUACAAAUAGAUCGAAAGCUCUCGAGGUUCUGGCCAGUUAGAAUAGUUGGGAUUAUUGUAAAUGUUGUUAAAUAUAUUGUAGUUGGUGAAUUGGUUAAAUUGUAUGUCCUGCUAGAAAGCUUGAGCUCUGCCGUCUAGCGGGAGUGUAAAUUGUGUGUAUAACUGUGUAAUAGUGCACGGUACCAUAACCACUAACGUAUUAUAAGUACAGACAUUGUGUAUUGUAUAUAACUACUAACAAUCUGUUGUUUGAUGUUAUAUGUGUAACACCAUAACUGUUACUAAUCGACCUGUGAUUCUAAAACUGUACCAUAACCACUUGCUAACCGUACUAUAAUUACUGAUUGUAAAGACGAUGUUACUGGAGUGUGUUAUAGUCUGGGAAUUGAGAGUUGAUUUACUGCAUGGAUGGUUGCAGGGUUUGAUUUAUAGUUACAAUGAUGAGUAUCUAGUGUUUGGUGAAUUUUCGUGUGUGAAGACGUCGUGUUAGCGCUGUGUGUGUAUGAGAAUUCUCCUGGUGUUUUUGGUGUGUGUUUGGCCUAGUAACUGUGCCACGUGGUGCUGUUGCUAAGGUAACUGGUGUGACUGUUGAAACUGUAUAUUUUUAUUGCUUUGAAUCAGACGCUCUGUUGAAAUUAUGGGUGCUUCUGAUUCACAAACAGUCCUUUGUCUUGUAUGUGUCAAAAACAAACAAACACUUUUCUAAGGAAUAUGUUGUAACACUGUCCCCCAAAAGAUUAAAAUACUCUGUUUAGCAGAGGACGGCCUGUUCUGGUAACCAGUGUUUCUGUGGAUCCCUGAUCCAGAUUUAAUACAGCAGGUUUACAAUGUUAUAAAUAAUAUGCUGGGGCUAUACGAGUAGUUUCUGUAUACAGAUUGUUGAAACACUGCUAAAUGGAACAAGCUGUGCUAAGAGGAACAAUGGAGUCCAUGGUAGCCAGGGUCUGUUUGUCCACUAAGACCUUAAUUACAACUGCUUUGGACACCUCCCCCCUUGCAUCUGAUUGCCAUCCCCCUUACUCAUCCUCCAGAGCCUCCCAAGCUAAAAACUGGUGUAGCUGGUAUUUGCACUGCCCCUGCUCUAUUGUCCACGCCUACCCACAUACCUAUCUGUUCUUUUCUUUCAAACUCUUGUAUUUCUGUACAAACUGGUUCUCUGUAAUUUGAAUUGACUUCCUUUUUGGUAGGAGUGUAUUUUAGCAUUGAAUUUUAUUAACAGUUAAAUUGUGAGGAAAAUUCUUAAUAACAGUAACUGAGUCUAUUGGAUCAGAUAAUUCUCAGCAAUGACAUGGUACCAUAAUCAUUGAAAUAGCACUAAAACUAUUGAAUACUGUGUGUCUUCAGUGAUAGUCUAAAAUACAACUGGAAGAAAUGAUUAAUGGUAUAAGAUGCUAGAGUACACUUUUAUCCUUUUAUUUAGUUACUGGAUGGGCCCCUCCCAGCUUUGUUCAAAAUAUCCCCUUUACUAAAAUACAAACUGAGAUGUUUAAUUUACCAUAGAACUAAAGCUUUACUCAAGCCUAUAUAUCAGGGUGAAUAGUGAUUAAAAUAAGUAAUAAUAAAAUAAGCACAUAAUUCACAGAUUUUACUAUUACCAUGACGUAAAGUCAUGAUUUUAUUAAUGACACGGAGGCGAGUAUUAUGCUGCACUCUUUCUUUAUUUCCCUCAGCAGCAAAGAAAAAACUUUAUGAACAUAACCAAUAAUAACAUUAACAGUCUCAGGUGUAAUCUUCCUAGUAACAGGAACAGCCAAUCAGGAUCCACUUCUCCAGCAUAAUAGGCUCUGUCAACCAAUCCUGUUCCUCUUUGUUUGCAAUCCCGAAGAAGUAAAAUUAUCCAAUAAAACGUUGAACUGCAUAGAACAUGGUUUUCCCGGAAUAGAUGGGCAGAUUAUACUGUAAGAGAGGAAAAAUAUGGUAAUAUCGUAGCAUAAAACUUAGUGUAUGCAUAGUUAUAGGUAUUCAAGAUAGUGCUUGGUCAGUGUCGUGUCUAAGUGAAUAUUGUAGUGUAACCUAUAAAUGUGGGUGGCCAGAUAGGUAAGCAGUGAUCGUAACUAAGACUUGCCUUGAUCUAAAUAUAACUGUAAUGUAACCAUCUUGCGAUUACAACUGUAACGAAUGGACAUGGUAAAAUGACUUACCGUAGGUCAACUUACCCAAUUUCCGUCUAUCCUUCCCCCGUCGCCGGGUGGGAGGGAGGAAUAAUACUCGCCUCCGUGUCAUUAAUAAAAUCAUGACUUUACGUCAUGGUAAUAGUAAAAUCUGUGAAUUUUAUUAAGACACGGAGGCUCCUAUUAUGCUGGUUGAAAGCUGAGAAACUACCGUUGCUGCAAAGUGGUGUAUUGGUUUGAAGUAAAAGUCACGGAAGGUAGAUUCUGAAGACCAGUCGGCUGCUUUCAGAAUGUCUUCCAGGCGACAACCCAUCGAAGAGGCUUUGGAAGCCAUUGCUCCUCGUAUGGAAUGUGGCGAAAAUAUGGAAGUGUCUAUGCCUGCCGUAGACAUGAUCCAUUUGACCCAGCGAGCCAGGGUCGUGGUAGACACAGGUAGGUGUGGUCUCUGGAAGGAGAUGAAGAGUUCAUGCCUAGAUGGGUCCCGCAACGCCUUGGUGCGAAGUUCAUAGGUUUGCAGACAUUGAACCGGACACAAGAGAGGUUUGUCAGGAAAGGCUGGAUAUGUCACCUUCUUCGUAGAGGUUUUUGUUCUCCGAGAUAUAUCGAAAGUGACCCCUUCCGGAGUGUAGGACCGUGCGGUGACGUCUAAGGCCCUAACGUCUGAAACCCGUUUGCAAGAUAUGAGACAUAGGAGCAUAACCAGUUUCGCCGACAGUUGUUUCAGAGAUAGUGUUGCGUUAUCUGGCCAAGAUUCGAGGAAGUGGAGGAUGAUGGAGACGUCCCACAGUACUGAGUAGCGUGGUAGCGGAGGUCUUGUGAAUCUGAUGCCGCGCAAGAGUCGGCAUAUCAGUGGAUGGCGUCCUAUCGGUGCGCCCUCGAUACCUUGGUGUGAGUUUGAAAUGGCCGAUUUGUAAAGGUUCACCGUGCGAUAUGCUUUGCCGUUUUCGAAUAAGGAGGUUAAGAAUUGCAGGAUCGAAGUCAGAGGAGCUGAUAUGGGAUCCAAAUUCCGUCCCAUGCACCAAUCGUGCGAUUUGCGCCAAGCAGAUUUAUAAGCUUGUCUCGUGCCGGGUGCCCAUGCGUUCUCAAGAAGUUGGAGAGUCGAUUCCGAAAUUCCUUUGAUUGAGUGAGGUUCCCUGAAAUCAGCCACGCUGUGAGGUGUAAUAAGUCUUGCUGAAUCAGGGGAUGAGGGGACCCGUCCGGGUCUCGAAGUAGGUAGUCGAAGUGUGGGAGAGUACGGGGUAUGUCUAUCGCCAUCUCCAACAGGGAAGGAAACCAUGGUUGUGACGGCCAUAAUGGCGCCACGAGCACUGCCGUUCCCGUCUGUCGCCGCAGUUGUAGCAGGCAGCGUGGGAUCAACGCAAAGGGAGGAAACGCGUAGUUCCUUUUGGGGGACCAUUCCUGGGUAAAGGCAUCUGUUGCCAGCGCCGCCGGGUCCGGUCUCCAGCUGAAAAAUCUGGGAAGUUGGGUGUUCAAACGGGAAGCGAACAAGUCCUUGUCCAGAGGACCCCAUAGGGACUGGAUGUCUUGGAAGACCCUGGGUUCCAGGUGCCAGUCGCUGGAAUCCCUGAGGUGUCUUGAGUACCAAUCCGCCGUGGUGUUGUUGAGGCCCGGAAUGUACUCUGCUGUGACCGAAAUGCCGUGUGCCAGGCAAAACUGCCAAAAGUCUCGUGCCAAAUUCGCCAGGAUUUUCGAUUUCGUGCCGCCCAAGUGAUUUAUAUAACGGACUGCCGAUACAUUGUCCAUCCUUAAAAGGAUGGCGCAUCGGGCUUGAGUCGGAGAAAAACUGCGGAUUGCAAAAGAACCGGCCAGGAGUUCUAGGCAAUUGAUGUGAAGCGUCGACUCCACUUCGGACCACCUGCCACCGGUAGAAACAGUGCCACAGCGUGCGCCCCAGCCGUGCAAGCUCGCAUCGGAUUCUAUGAUCAUAUCCGGUUCGGUACCGAAAAUGGCUCAGCCAUUCCAGGGGUCCAUAUGGGAUAGCCACCAUCUGAGCUCUGUCUUUGCUUCUGUAUCCAGAGCAAUCAUGUCCGUGUAUGCGNNNNNNNNNNNNNNNNNNNNNNNNNNNNNNNNNNNNNNNNNNNNNNNNNNNNNNNNNNNNNNNNNNNNNNNNNNNNNNNNNNNNNNNNNNNNNNNNNNNNUGUGUGUAUGGACUCAGCAGAGCCUGUGUGUGUGUACGGACUCAGCAGAGCCUGUGUGUGUGUACGGACUCAGCAGAGUCUGUGUGUGUGUGUACGGACUCAGCAAAGUCUGUGUGUGUGUAUGGACUCAGCAGUCUGUGUGUGUGUGUGUAUGGACUCAGCAGCCUGUGUGUGUAUGUACUCAGCAAUCUGUAUGUGUACGGACUCAGCAAUCUGUGUGUGUAUGGACUCAGCAGUCUGUGUGUGUGUAUGGACUCAGCAGUCUGUGUGUGUGGACUCAGCAGAGUGUGUGUGUUUGUGUACUCAGCAGUCUUUGUGUGUUUGUGUACUCAGCAGUCUUUGUGUGUGUGUGUGGACUCAGAAGUCUGUGUGUGUGUGGACUCAGCAGUCUGUGUGUGUGUAUGGACUCAGCAGAGUCUGUGUGUUUGUGUGUGUAUGGACUUAGCAGUCUGUGUGUGUGUAUGUGUGUAUGGACUCAGCAGAGUGUGUGUGUGUGUGUGUGUAUGGACUCAGCAGUCGGUGUGUGUACGGACUCAGCAGAGUCUGUGUGUGUGUAUGGACUCAGCAGAGUCUGUGUGUGUAUGGACUCAGCAGAGUGUGUGUGUGUGUGUGUAUGGACUCAGCAGAGUGUGUGUGGACUCAGCAGUCUGUGUGUGUGUAUGGACUCAGCAGUCUGUGUGUGUACGGACUCAGCAGUCUGUGUAUGUACGGACUCAGCAGAGUCUCUGUGUGUGUAUGGACUCAGCAGUCUGUUUGUGUUUGUGUAUGGACUCAGCAGAGUGUGUGUGUAUGGACUCAGCAGAGUGUGUGUGUAUGGACUCAGCAGAGUGUGUGUGUAUGGACUCAGCAGAGUCUGUGUGUGUGUAUGGACUCAGCAAUCUGUGUGUGUGUGUGUGUAUGGACUCAGCAGUCUGUGUGUGUGUAUGGACUUCGCAGUCUGUGUGUGUGUAUGGACUCAGCAGUCUGUGUGUGUGUAUGGACUCCGCAGUCUAUCAAUAAUUAAAAUUCCUGUGAGUUGUUGUGUAGGAAGGGCCCCAGUGUAUUGCUUUGCCCAGGGGCCCUUAACUCUGUUAAAAUGGUACUGCUUGUGUGUGUCAGUGAGCUUCUAUUUAGUGAGCAUGUGUGUGUCAUUUUGACUUUUAGGAAUGGCAUACAUUUUUUUUCCAGGGCUGCUUUGGAUUGCCAGGGAUUCCCAGUUUGGCUCUGCCAGCGAGUGUACUUUACCGCUGAAUAACCUGUGUGAGCUGCCGCACACUUUAGCCCUGUUACACGCGUCUGGGAGCUGCUGUUGACAGGUACAAGUAGUCUAGAGAUUGGGGUAUAUGCUCAGCUAUCUGUAUAAUACAGAUCUGUGUGUAUAAAAUAUCCCGGGAUAGUCCGUGCUUCCUGUAUAGUGCUGCUCUCUGUCUUGGGAUUAUACAGAGAGCAGCACUAUACAGGGAGCACUGAGUGUCCCAAUUUAUUAUACACACAACCCUGUAUUAUACAGAGAGCACUGACUGUCCAGGGAUAUUAUACCCAGACAGUAAUUGAUAGCUGUGCUGCAAAAUGUCCUUGGAAAUUUUUUUUCAAAUGUUGGCAACUAUGGCACUGUAUCAAGGAUAAUGUGUUUGUUUUUUUAAUAAUCCCUGGUGGAAAAUCAUGAUUCCUCCACCAGGUAUUAUUAAAAAAACAAAACACAUUGUGUCGGGGGCGUGGCUUAACAUGUGACAGGGGCGGGGUCAAACUGCGGCGAGGGCGGGGUUAAAUGUGCCCCCCUACUUUUGUCACUGGCCCUCCAUGUGCCCCCCCGAAAAAUGAAUCCUAGAGACGCCACUGGUUAACAAGCCAAGGGGGUCGGUGGUCGGUAGUUUGCGAACCAGGGAAAAACACUGAGUUCGGGGAAACUUGGAAAACAAAAUAGGGGGUACUCUUCCCAAUAGAUGAGUAAUAGUGAGUUCAUCACAAUACCACCACUUCAUUUCCGAAGGUAUAGAAUCCUUGGAUUGAAGCAGUGGGUGACUGAUGCGACCCAAAGUCCUAUGCUUUAUGGGCUUUAUCCUCCAAGGAGUUCCCCUUCCCUCUAUUUUCUUUUUUUUUAUUAUAUAUUUUUGCUUCAAUUUAGAAGUCUAAAGACACUUCUUUUUUUACUUGCUUUUGCUUGUCACAAUUUCUAUGAGUAAAUAAGGAAUCUUUAAAUAAUAAAUGUGUCCGUAUAGUAAAACUAUAUAAUGAUGUUGCAGUCGUACUACACAGCAUUGUAAAGGAUGCACAGGUUACAGUACUGUACACCACCCUGUAGGUUUAGGAGGACUUAGGGUGUUUACGAUUAAGUAAACUUUAUAGUUGCGAGUGCUUAGGUUUAGAGGGAAUUAGGGAUUAUUUUAGGGUUAACAUAGGGUUAUGAUUGGGAACCCUUAGGGGGAAAGGGUACAUGCCGCUCAGUGGAGCUAAACUCAAGAGGCAGGCCAAUAGUCAGCUCAUCUGUCUUGCAAAGACUUCUCAUUAAGCUGCAUUGGGAAGUGAUUGUACAGCCAAAGUCUGGGUGAGGAUGGCUUGCAAAGGCUUCAGGCUAAAAAAAGAUCUGCAGCUUUUGCAAGCUGUUCUUGAUAUAUCCCCAAUGAAAAAUGCAGAAUUAAAUGUUUACAUUUGGAGUAUUUCUACUAAAUAUUUUUGUUUUGUUUUUGGGCAGUGGAGUGUCCCUUCAAAGGAGUGCAGGUCCUUGAGUGCCUCCUCUCAUGCUGUCAUAAUGUCACAGUGAUGAGGAGAAGGUGAGGGAGAUGGCCUCACAAAACCUGGCCACCAAGCAAUAAAACAUGGACUAAACUUGAGAAGGUUCAGCAAGCUAGAAGAAUAUUUACCCCACCCCCACAGGCCAGCCCACACUGACUACAUGAGAUAUGCAGCAAUAAAGGCUAUUUUCAGCCUCUCAUAAGUGAAAUGUGUCUGAUAACUCUAUAGAUAACAACAUUAGAAUGAGUGCAGUGGACUUUUAUUUUCUGAACUACAAAACCUGUGCUCUGUCUAAUCCUCAAGUCUUUUUACCACUAGUAUACAAUACAUAAUUCAGGAAUACAUAGACACAGCACAACCAAAAUUACAUAUACAGUAUUUAAUUACCAAUAUAAACCUCACAUAUUUAAUUGUAGCUAUGCUAACUCUCCUCACUAUAUAUAUAUAUAUUUGUAAUUUGUAAAGCUAAAUGUAUAUAUACAUUGUGUAUUUUAUCAAUAUACAAAUAAUUAAGGUCCCUAAGGAUUUGCAACAAAUCUGUUUUACGAUAAAAUUUUGUGUAUAAUAGAGAUUUCUAUAUAAUAAUCAUUAUUUAGUACCAAAAUAUUUCACAGCACCCUACAAUUAUAGAAAGGGGAUAUUCUAGGAAAGAAGACCCUGUUCAAACAAUGAGGAUCUCUGAGCAUUUGAGGCAAGCAGAUGUAUAUCGCUAGGUGUCUUUCCCAAGGACACUUACUGGUGUGGUGGAUUGACUGGGAUUUAAACCUAGAUUUGUCAGUUCUAAAGCAGUGAUGUGAUGGUGUACAUUUGUAUACUUUGUGUAAUGUACUACAAUCAGUGUUGGUUUGGAGAAGCUGUUACUAAAUAAAUCCCAGUUUACAUAUAGAAAGUGAUCCCAAAAAUGGUACAGCUAUGAUUGUGGUAGAAACCAGAUUAGUUUCAUAAUUUAUGAAAAUGCAAACUCUUGCUAGGUUGUAGAUGCAGCAGAAGGUCACAUAAAUAGUAGUUCCCUUGUGCUGGACAUAAUAUGACACAGAAGCAUGUAUGUUAGUAAUAGCUGAGUUUUGGUUCCUGUAAAUAGUUAUUUUGAUAAAGGUCUCAGUACCUUGGACAUGAUAUGACACGUGAUAAUGGGUCAUAGUGUCCUGUUAUUAUCAAUAACUGAGAAUGACUUCCAGAAACACCACAGCUGAACAGGACUGCUGUGAUUUUCCAAGCGAACAGGUAGAUUGCAUAUCACUGUGCUUUAAUUCAUUUCUUAAUGUGAAUUUAAAAUUAAUAUAUGAAUUUAAUUAGCUGCUGGUCACUACUAAGUUUAUUUGCCAACACCAAUAAAAAUAAAGUCUAAAACGUAGCGUACUUUUUUUGGUAGCCUGCCUGAUGUCCUCUCAUUUCUCUUUUGAUGGCUACAGGACUUUGGUGAUCCCCCCCCCUCCAUUUUAUAGUGUGGAGUUUUGGUGACUUAUUUUCUUUUUAAAGGCUAAGCUCUGUGUUCGCAUUUUUUGUGUAUCUACAUCCAAAUGACGCCAGCAUUAAAGCUCUCCUGGGGCCAUUUAAAAGUAUUCUUCAAUAUGAUGAGUCUACAAGCCGUAACAUAGAAAUGUGUAUCUAUUUUGUUUAAUUUAAAUUUUGAAAGCAGUUUUUGUUUGUUAAUGCCCAAUGUGCUUUCUCUGUUGGUGCUCUAUGUACAGGUGAUACACACUGCAAUCGGUUCCCACUUACAGGUCGUGUUUACUUUUUGCAAUUGCAGAUGGUUCUUGCUCUACCUCCAGGUGUUGCUUACUCCCAUUGUACAUUAUUCUCAAAGUUCAUUAGUACUCUAGUACACUCUCAGUUUAUUCUUGGUGCUUUCGACUCUGUUUACUAGUAACACGCCUUUCUAAAUAAGCCAUUUAUUCAAAUUAGCUUUGUAACCCAAUAGUUAAAGGACCACUACAGUGCCAGGAAACCAUACUCGUUUUCCUGGCACUAUAGUGCUCUCAGGGUGCCCCCUCCUUUAGGGUCCCCCUCCCGCCGAGCUGAAGGGGGAGGAAGGGGUUAAACUUACCUCUUUCUCCAGCGCCGGGCGGGGAGCUCUCCUCCUCUUCGUCUGAAUGCGCAUGCGCGGCAAGUGGUCUGGGUGCAUAUAUUGGUCCUUUAACACAUUACACAUAGCAAAGUAGAUUCUAAAAAAAAAAAACACCUUCUUUGUGUAGACCAACAAUUCUGAAUGCUUUUUAGAUUACAUACAUGGCUUUAACCUGACAUUAACAUUAGCUCUGUAACCCAAUCUUCAAUAGUUUAUAUAAAACAUUGCAAAGAAGUUUCUGGGAAAAAAAACACCUUCUUUGUGUAGACCAACAAUUCUGAAUGCUUUUUAGAUUACAUACAUGGCUUUAACCUGACAUUAACAUUAGCUCUGUAACCCAAUCUUCAAUAGUUUAUAUAAAACAUUGCAAAGAAGUUUCUGGGAAAAAAAACACCUUCUUUAAUUUCUUCCACAGUCUCCCAGGACUUCCUUGAAUGCAUUAGAUCUGGUGAAUUUAAUCUGCUAUUUGAUGAAUUGGGGGUCCCUCUGAAUUGGCAGGGGGUAGUCAGUUUUUGCUUCCCACUGUCACGGACUGCCUGGCACCCCGACUGGGUGCCUCCGCCAAUCACUGCUUCCUUGUACCUCCGAGUACUUCCAAGCACUCCACCAGACACCAUCAGCACUGUAGACCCUUAGCCACCGCAGCUUUGCUGGAGUCUAAAGGGUCUACAGUGCUGAGUUUUGUCCUUCCUAGGGCAGCACAAAACCAGGAUACACCACUGCAUGCACAUGGUCCUAUGUCCAAAACAGUUCCAGGGAAUUACGGCCAACGGUCGGUCUCUCUUUCUGGAGAACAAAAGUACAUAAAUCACAUACAUUUUUAAAGGGCCCAUAGUCUUUUGGCAGGAGGCUGGCAAGCAGGCCCCUCCACGAACACGUGACAGAGACAUUUCUGCCACACCCACCUCCAAUAUNNNNNNNNNNNNNNNNNNNNNNNNNNNNNNNNNNNNNNNNNNNNNNNNNNNNNNNNNNNNNNNNNNNNNNNNNNNNNNNNNNNNNNNNNNNNNNNNNNNNUAAAACCAGAGAGCCAGAGGUUCCUUAGCUUAAGUAGCUGCGUUUAGCUGACUUGCUAAAAGUGAUCUUUAAUGCUCACAGCUAGCGAGUCAAGCUCUGCAUUCCAUUCAAAAAAUUGUUUCAGAAACUUUUAACGGUGGGGGAGGGGGACUGCCAGGGUACNNNNNNNNNNNNNNNNNNNNNNNNNNNNNNNNNNNNNNNNNNNNNNNNNNNNNNNNNNNNNNNNNNNNNNNNNNNNNNNNNNNNNNNNNNNNNNNNNNNNUCCUAGCACCAUAAUGUCUUCAGCUAGCUUUAGUGGUUAUUGUGCAUUUAGAGUUAAUCUUCUAUUCACGUUUGCAAGAGAUGAGCUAAUUGAAACCUUUUCAUAUGCAAAUAUUACAAAUAAUGUUUUAAUGCUGAAAAAAACCUCUGCUAGAUGGUAAUAGUAGAACUAGAUUUAUUGUUAACGUGUGGUAUUGUUUGUGGAUAAUAUGAAAGUGAAAAUAACACCCAAUUUGGCAGGAACAGGAAACAAAGGUGCUGUUGCUUAUAUGUUGGAGGCCUGCAGAGCAAACUUUUCCUGUUGUAUGAGAAAUGGCAGUUUUACUUUUACAGUGUAUAUAAUUUUAUUUUUUUAACCAUUACUGUCAUUUCAACUAUUCAAAUUUUAAGCAAGUAAAAUGUGAUGAGGAAAAUGUGGAAGCUUUAUGGGUAGGUAUCUGGGGCAAAAGAAGCAAAUCAGGUAUUGGUUGGAAUAAGUUAUAAACCACCUAGUGUUAAUAUUGAUGAGGAAGAACAACUGUUAGAGUAAAUUGGGAAAGCUGCACGUUAAUUGUUGGAGAUUCUAAAUACCAAGAUAUAAAUUUAGACUGGUAAUCAGGUUUUUGAACCUGUUAAAUGACACAAUCAUGUACAAAAGUGCUUGUCUGGAUCUGGUUAUAACAAACAACGUUGAUCUUUUGACCAACAUUCAAGUAGGGGAGCACUUGGGAAAUAGUGAUCACAAUAUGAUGUCUUCUAAAAACUGAAAAAACAUAUAAUUUUAAAAAGGCCAAUUUCAAUAAGAUAAGAGUAGCUUUACAAAAUAUGACUGGCAUGGGGGCCGUGGCUUGGACUUCGACCUGAAUGGCAGCAUAGUCAGAGAGCUCUGCUCCUCUAAGCCCUAAUUAAGCUUUUCAUCCGCACCUACUUCGCCAUAUUUUUCACAGAUGAAGAGAACCCGUCAAUGUGGGAUGGAGCAGGGAGAGAGAGAGAAGUCCAGGAUUGAGGAGGAGAUGUAUAGGGACUUGAUCAAUAAGCAUGUGAGGAUUGGGGCAGGUAUGGAACUGCGGGUAAGCAGGUGGGAAUGGGGAGGAGGCGUCUAUCAGAAAAGAGGGAGGAGGGGAAGAAAGGGAAGAAAAGGGAAGCGAAUAAAAAGGGAGGUGGAAAAAAGGGGGUUAAGGGAAGUAAAGACGGGUGUCUCUUUGUCCCAUUCUCCCUCUUUUGAGAAAUAGAGGGUUCCGUAUUAAUAUGUGCAACAACAUUGGCAUGGGUGCUGACCCAUUAUGCAUGGUUCCUCCCUCUCUGGUUUAAUGAGUGGGGGGAGGUUUGGACCCUGGAAGUAUCCCACCAAAUUUGACAGGCGACAGAGUGUGUGUCUUGCGGGUGGUGUGAUGUUGAUAGCCUGCUUCCCCUGGCUCAUUGACUAGGAAUUGAGUCAACGGCCUUCACUGCCACUACCCUUGAUAAUGUGGAGACCACACCGGGUGAUGUUUCCCCAUAGAUGGAGCUAUUUUCUACCGCCCUCAUAUUCUCCUACCAUUUCCUCACUAUCUCUCUUACUAUUUUGAGCUUUCCCUGUCACCUCCUGCCUAUUUUCAAAAGGUCGCAACUGGGAGACCUACAUUUCUCACACUCUCAGUCUCUCCAACACUACUAUCCUAUUUUUUGCUUUUUUUGUUCGAUUUUAGCCUUUUGUAUGCCUUCCUCUCACAAACUACUUGGCUGCCCAACUUUCCAAUUGGCCUACCAAUUGCNNNNNNNNNNNNNNNNNNNNNNNNNNNNNNNNNNNNNNNNNNNNNNNNNNNNNNNNNNNNNNNNNNNNNNNNNNNNNNNNNNNNNNNNNNNNNNNNNNNNAGAGGACUCAGUGCCCCAGAGCGCAGAUCACACGUCUUGAGGGAACUCCAAACUCGGUGUGUAUCCAUAGCCUUUUUACAGUAGACUCACUUCCUGGAGGGCAUGGCCCCAACAUAACAGAAUAGAUUCUAUCCUACCAAUAACUUUAGCAAUAAUUCCACUACACAAAAAACAGNNNNNNNNNNNNNNNNNNNNNNNNNNNNNNNNNNNNNNNNNNNNNNNNNNNNNNNNNNNNNNNNNNNNNNNNNNNNNNNNNNNNNNNNNNNNNNNNNNNNGAGUAGCUAUAUUACUGGCGGCCAUGUUAGAGAGCAGUAGGGAUCUAGAGGGUAGGCAUCUAUUCGUUAAGGGGAAGGUCUCGGAUAAAUUGUACACAUUAGCAGUCAUAUACGCCCCCAAACAUAGCCAGUCGAACUUCCUUUGUGGGACGUUAUUCAAGCUGAAGCAAUUUACAGAGGGCUCCCUGAUUGUGGGGGGGGGGAGGGGCCUUAAUGUUCCACUAGACCCCAUAUUUGACUCUUCCUCCGGAUAUAGCAGCAUCUCUCAGACAUAUCAGAGCUAUCCAUAAUACCCUUAGACAUAUGAGAUUAGUGGACUGCUGGAAGACCUGUCACCCUACUGACAGAGAUUAUACACAUUAUUCCACUGUCCAUGAUCGCUAUGCUCGAAUAGAUUACUUGUUCUUGCAACAGGGCGAUGAUUGAUGCCUCAACAUGGUACGACCAUGGACAGGUCCUAAAAGGUAUAGAGUCCCAUGUAUCUAGACCGGAAGAGUGGACCUGGUGGCUUAAUGAGUCUUUACUACUAGAUCCUUCUAUCAAGGAACAGGUGGCAGGAGCCUUGUCCCUAUACUUCGAGGAGAAUGAUGCCAAUGACAUGUCGCUGCUCACGCUGUUUGAUCGGCCUGGUUACCAAAAAGAAAAAAGAAGCGAUGCAACAGCUAGCUGACUUGACGACUCGGAUAGCCAAUCUAGAGUCCUAGCAUAAACUCACGCUUGGAGUUUGUCUACACUGAACUGCUGAAUGCCAGACUUACACUUAAAGACCUUUUGACAUGCUGACAUUUUAGGGGCGUCCAGCGAUCUAAAGUAUUUUUCUACACACACGCCAAUAAAGGGGGGAAGUAAUCGAAUGCUCCGUGGUCCACGCCAAUGCAAGCAGAUACAGACUUAAACAGGCAUCAGGGGGUAUCUCUCCAUUCCCGCAAGACAUUUCGAGAGAGUUCCAGGAUUUUCUGAACUCCACCCUCCAUAAGACCACGGGGGAUAUGUAUGUGCUUACAUACCUUGACUCUGUAGUAAGCACAGAAAGAUCCGUGGAAUCCUCGUACUCAAAUACCACUACAUAUGGUUGAUAGCUAUGCUCCAGGAUGCCCUGCAGUUACUUCUCUUGUGGUUAAUACGACUUUUUGCACUUACAAUGUGUAUUCUCAACAUUUAACAGUUGAUUCUUUGUAACCUUUAUCAAUUGCCAUAUUACUGCUACACCUUUUGGGGCAUGAGUGCUCCUACUGAUUUUUACUAUUUCUUUGAUAAAUCUUAAUAAAAUACGGUUUACAAAAAAACCAAAAACAUAUGACUGGCAUAAGCUCUUUAGUGAAAAAAACACUGAGAAUAAAUGGAAUAUCUUCAAAUAUUAAAAAGAUACAUGUCACAGUACGUACUAUUGGGUAAUAAAUAUAAAAUAAACAAAUUCAAACCAAUGUGAUUUAGUGGGGAAGUAAACCAAGAAAUUAAAAAUAAGAAAAUUACGUUUACAGCAUUUAAACCUGACAAAUCACAAUUAGAUUGACUCAACUACAAAGUAAAAAAGUGAUCGCCAGAGAGGGCAAAACCAAGCCCAUAUUUUUUUUUAAGGAAAUAAAUUCUAGCAAACCAAAAAAGUAAAAUGUAGGUACACUGAAAACAGAGUUGGGUGUUUUUAGUUAAUAAAGGCCAAGAAAAGGCAGACAUUUUAAAUAACUGUUUUUCAUCAGUAUACAUUAAGAAGGAACCUAUAGCAAGAGAUAUGCAAAUAAUUGCUGCAAAAAAACCUGCAGAAAUAUUGUUGGAUGACUCAAGACAAGGUACUACAGCAGCUAAAGAAAGUUUAUAUAAACAAAGCUCUGGUGCCUGAUGGUAUUCACCCACAAGUAGUUAAGGACCUAGGUGUGAAUAUAAGUGAACCUCUGUUUUUACAUUUUCAGGAUUUUUUUUUCUUUCAUGAAUUGUACCAGAACAUUGGAGGAAGGUAGAAAUGGUUCCUUUAAUAAAAAGGACUCAAAGUAUUGGGAAAGUAUUUGAAGGGUUAAUAAUGGAUACUAUUUAGGAAUUUGUUCGGAAGAAUAUUAGCAAAAUUCAGUUUGCAGUUUUUAUAAGGUUAAGUCCUCCUCUAGUGACUGUCUACCAGACAGCCACUAUAGAGACUUUUGGCUUCUUAGACGGCUUUUGGUUGUUAAAACGACGCUGGACCUCACGGUAUGCAUGAGGACCUCCAGCGUCGCCCGAAUCCACAUUUCCGCGCAUACGCAUUAGGUCUCCCACGCCGGCAGACAUUGGCGAGGGAGGAGCAUGGGCGGAGCAUGACCCAAUGCCAAGGGACAUCGGAGCUGGAUUCAGAUAAAUGUCUGAAGGGGUGGCAUGAAGAAGGAGUGAUGGGGGGGCGGAAAGCUAGGGGGCGAUACUCCAGGAUUCUACAGUGCCAGAAAAACGGGUUUGUUUUCCUGGCACUGGAGAAUCCUUUUAAAGAUAGAUUAAAGAGAGUUGUCAUUAAUGGUAAAUUUUAAAGCUGGACAAAAGUAGUAAGUGGUGUCCCUUUAGAGUUUUGUUCUGGGACCGCUUCUAUUUAACAUAUUCAUAAAUUACCUUAAAGUAGGCAUUUAAAGCCAUGUUUCAGUGUUUGCAGAUGGCACAAAACUCUGUGAAGUCAGUGGCGGAACUAAUGCAGAGAGGGACCUGGUGCAAGAAAUAAUUUUGGCACAAGAGUGCCCAGAAAGAUUCCCAUCUGUUGUACAUAUUACAUAAUGCAUUGCCAGCUAAAGAUCUACUAUUUGCUCAUCCUUGCAGGGUUUUACUUGUGAACAGUUUUUGUGUGUUUGAAUGUAUUUGGUAAGAACGUCAAACAGUUUUUUUUGCCUUCUUUGGAUCAACAGCAAAAAACAGAUUUGUGGAAGGCUGAACUUGAGAGACAUGUCUCUUUUCAGCCUAUUUAAUGUGUAAUGUUCUACCCAUACCAUUCAUCUUUUCUUUAUGUGGCUAUGAACCUCAGUUUACUUAUUAAAAUUGCACACAUGCCAAACAAGCAAUUUUGCCACCAAUAUUUAGUAAAUGGUAUUGGUUUUUUACAGGCAUACAUAUUAUUGCUGUAGCAAAUUCCUAUAUAAUCACCUCCAACAAUAACUUAGGAGAAAAUAUGAGGUUGGGAACUAGUUGGAUAGGCAAGACUCCGGAGGUGGCAUAAAGAGAUGGAAUUUUAUGUAUCUGUAAUGCGUUCCAUAUAAAGCAUUCAUGAAAUCCACCCAUUGUACAUAUACUAGUACACUACCCUAAAAUGCAUUGCCAAUAUAAAAAUGGAUGGUAUCAUCAUCAUUGACCAAAAUGUAUGAACCAAGAAAAAAAAUGUAUCUUACCGAGUCACCACAUAUGUUUUAGUACUGUUACUAGUAUGUUCCGUUCGGACGGUACUUGCAAAAUCUUGUGAAUAGUCAGCUCUGGUGUAUGGGAAAUACACAAGGCUCCCAUUUAUAACAUUUGUUGAAUAAGUAUGCUUUAAGGAAGUUUAACAAUUUAAUUCAUGUCAUGCUAAUAGGAAGGUAAAGAUACAAGCUACCACAAACCACACCAGUGAGGCCAGAUCACACCAUUGUGGUAGCCCUUUCAAGCUGUAGUGUAAACUUAUGGGUUUGUGUAAAAUAUUAAUAGCAUACCACCCUACACAGCCGACCUCCUUUCUCUUGUAUGUAAAAGCAAGACAUGCUGGAAGGUGUUAUUUUUUUAUUUUAGUUUUUAUUUUAAGCAGAUACAUUCUGUACCCUUGUUGCCAAGGCAGCAAACAGAUUUUGUAGAUGAUGUUGGUUUAGGUGUCACAGAGAAAAAUAAUCCUUCCUGGGUGGCUUUGUCAAACACAGUAACGCCUGUGACACUACUUAAUUAUGCAUGCACUUGGCAAUUUAUUAAAAUAUGAAAAUUUGGAAACUAUUAAUAUAUUUUUUUAGUUGAUUGUAGUCCAUUUAUUCUCAUAGAAAAGUAAUGGAUUAGAACCAGGCAAGCGCAACUAAAUGCCAAACUCGGCAGAAUGUGAUUGCAGUUCUGAAGAAGACAGCCUCUAGAGGUGGAUGUAACCCUGCAAUAUAAACAGUGUAGUUUCUACUAAACAGCAGUGUUUUACAUUUCAGGAUUAAAAUGACAAGGUCACUGCACCCAGACCACUUUAUUGAGAUUAAGUAGCCUUGGUGACUUUACUGGUCCUUUUAUGAAAAUAUGGCAAGUAGUAUUGAAAAUGUGUGCAUUGUGAUAGAUAAAGAUUAGGUGCUAGUUUUGCUUAUGUCAAAUUCCAAUUUGCAUUUUAAUAAAAUUCAAGGCUGUAUAACCUCACCUGGCAUUCAGUGCAGAUUAAAGAAGUCUCAAUAUUUUGUGCAUUUGAUGCUCCAGUGCUAAAGCACACACAGUUUCAUGAGAGAGUGCCCAGUACACAUACACAAGAGGGGGCAUGGAAAUAAGAUGGCAGUGAUCCUGACCCAGGACCUUCAAUAUACAAUAAACUAUGGGUUAAAUUAAUAACUACCAUUUUAUACAAAGGCAUCAUAUUUACCCCAUUAAAGGACCACUAUAGUGCCAGGAAAACAUACUCGUUUUCCUGGCACUAUAGUGCCCUGAGGGUGCCCCCACCCUCAGGGACCCCCUCCCGCCCGGCUCUGGAAAGGGGUUUAAACUUACCUUUUCCCAGCGCUGGGCGGAGAGCUCUCCUCCUUCUCUCCUCCUCUGUUCCGCCCCAUCAGCUGAAUGCGCACGCGCGGCAAGAGCUGCGCGCGCAUUCAGCCGGUCGCAUAGGAAAGCAUUCACAAUGCUUUCCUAUGGACGCUGGUGUGCUCUCACUGUGAAAAUCACAGUGAGAAGCACGCAAGCGCCUCUAGUUGCUGUCAAUGACACAGCCACUAGAGGAUUAGGGGGAAUGCUUAACCCAUUAAUAAACUUAGCAGUUUCUCUGAAACUGCUAUGUUUAUUAAAAAAAUGGGUUAACCCUUGCUGCCUAGAGUGGUCCUUUAAAUAUACGUUGUUUUUCCAAAUGUGUUCAUCCACCAAAGACAUAUUUUCACUGUAUAACAAAUUGGAAUGUCUUGAAUAAAACGCUUGGGACUUAAUUAAUAAGUGUGUUCCUUUUCCUUUACAGACAUUGAUGCUGACCUUUUCUGUCAGUCUUACUUUGUUCUUAACAAACUAUCACAUUUUGUUUGCUCUUGGCUGCCCUUCAAUACUCCUUCGGGUACAAGCUGCUCUUUAUACACACUACAUUUAACAUGGUAAGUAAAUUUUAAUUUUAUUUAUUUUUAAAAAGCAAUGUUAAAAUGUAUUCAUUUCCUGUUUGUUCCGAGGCUGUCAUUAAAUAAUACAACCCUAACUCAUAAGAAGUCAGUCAGAUCAUAACCAAAAAGGAUAGAAAAUCAACAGGAGUAUAGCCGUUAUUCUGCCAGUCAGUUUAUUAAAAUCCAUUUUACAAUGUAAAAUAAAAGGAUCGUGAAUUCUAAAUAUAAAACAGUCAUGAAACCAGAUGUACACAUAACUGUAGAACCAUCCAAAGUCAAGGAAUCUAAUCUAGACUAGACUGAAUAGUUAAACUCAGAGGGACAUUCAAACAUGUAUUACGUAGAUUGAAAAAGACGCAAAGGUCAACUUUUCUACGUACCAUUAUAGGGGGAAUCCAGAAAUACCCAGUGACAAUCAUUUCACUUUUCUCAGCUUAACUAACUUUUUUUUUUUUUAGGAAUGACUGAAUAAUGUAAAAAUAUAUAUUUCUCAGUGAAUUUUGCUUAAUUGACUUUAAUGUUAGAGUUCACUUUUUUUUUUUCAAUACAGAGUAAGUAUAGCAAUUAGCAAAAAUGAAAAUAAUGGCAGAACAAAGCAAAGUAAUUCAUGUACCAAUACAUGUAAACCUGUAACAAAGUAAACUUAUGGGGUUGAAUACCUCCAAAAUAUAAAAAGUUUAAAAUCCAAGUAAUAUCAGGCAGAAAGGGAAAAGCAAUAAAAUAUGUUUGGAAGGGAAGAUAAAAAGGAAAAAAAGGUGAGAAAGUGGGUUGAGAGGGAAGGGGAUCCUGUUGUGUGGUUAGGGAACCGAAGGGCACAGAACAAGAACACAAGGAUGCAAAGAAGGUCACCUACGCCAGUUAUCAGUCAAAAGAGGAUCAGAUUUUUAUGAACCAACAUGCUUCUCACAUGAAACCUUUUGAAAUGCCAUUAAUGUGUUUUUGACAUUUGCAGUUAGUUUACCCAUCCAAUAAGUAUUUUUUUUUCUACUUAUAUAUCUUCCCAGACAUUACUUUCUAAGACUUCAUUGAAUUCUGUCUCCCUGUUCUCCUUUUAUGUUGGUUUACCCUAUUCUUUUGAGGCUGUGCAAAGAUUAAUAUAGAGUAAUUAAUUUUUUGUGUGUUAUCAGAAAACCAAAAUUCCUCAGAGGAGAUGGAAUUGUUUUGUUUAAUCCAUUAAAUAAUACAUUAAUAAUAUAGUCAAACCUCUUAAUGGGAUAUCAAGUAAGCUAAAAUCCUCAAAGGAAUGGAAAUCGGUCUGUUUUAAUCCAUUAUCUAGAUAGUGCAUUAAUUAUACCGUGUAAAAACAAUAAAAAGUGCUCCUGGAUUAAGAGAGCACUGUAUACACCACAUUGGUGGAAUAAAUUCGCCACAGAUUUGAACUGUUGUUUACUUUCAAGCUAAGAACGGACAGGGCCAAUCAUGAUGCUCCUUUUCCUUUAUAUGCUGAGUUUAUCCAAAAUAAUUCAUGGACAGAAAUGCUUUAUGGGCCCUAGGAAAUUGUUGCUGGACGUCACUUGCGUUUGUAUAAUUAGAACAAAAAAGGGAAAACACUGUAGUUUAGGAGGGCCGACAUUUGGAGCAAAAUUAAUUUUAAAUAAAUUACCUUAAGUUAAAUUACCUGACCAAAAUUGCACCUAAAAAGUGCCGGUGUCUGUAAUGCCCCUUUAACUUUUAUGAAAUUUAUUUAAUCUAGCUUUUCAAUGUUAUUUUUAUAAUUUAAACUAUAUAACUCUGAUUACAAGCAAUUAUCUUAAUAUUCAGAAUCUACCUUCUGUUUACAUUGUUUCCAGAGCUGCACCAUGGAUGGAAGCAGUGGUAAUACUAGACAUUUUUUUUCUCACCAGCAGAGACUCAGUUGAGCACCCCUUAUUUUUCCUUUUCAAGUGUAGGCAGGUGGUAUACGCUGAGGUCAGUGAGGUCUCAGCAUACACCUGUCCUCCUGCUUUCCCGGCAACCACCACGUCUUCUAAAUAGAGUGUGUUGUGUGUAAGGGAGGCUUCUUGUGGGUUUUGUGUGUUGUGUUUAUGGUAAGGUUGUGUUUCAUAUGUGGGAGGUAACUGUGUAUGGCGAUCACUAUCUUCAGGGAGGGACUAUGUAAGAAUAGAGGGAGAAUGUGUGUUGCAUGGUGAGGGAUGGUAAGUGACUGUGGCAGGUUAGUGAGUGUGACCGGGUUAGGGAGGCUGAGGGUGACGGUGUGUGGCAUGGUUAGGGUGGUGAAUGACUUUGGGAGGUGAACUUAACACGGGUUGGGGGUAACUGACAGAAUUGGGGGAUGAGUGAGAAAGGGUGAGAGGAAAUUACAGGGUGUGUCAUUGAGAAGGGUGGUAAAUCACUAUGGCAGGGUCUGAAUGUGACAGGGUUAGGGUGGUGAUUGAGAUUUGGUGGGUAGUGAGUGUGACAGGGUGAGGGGUGGGGAGUGACUGGCUGUGGCAGGGUGGUGAGUGUGACAAGGGAGAAUGAUAGUAUGUGGUUAGGUUGUGUUAAAAACUUUAUCCCCACACUGAGAAGUACUGCCUUUUUUUGUAAAAUAUAUAGAAUUUGUCCUCUUCCUGCUUACCCCCCUGGACAGUAAGGGGAGCAAUAAUUCAUCACCUGGUGGUCCAGUGGGCUACUGGUGCAGCAUCAAUCCUCCAUUUUUGGCAUAUUUUCUAAAGCUGACCCAUUUUAAUUACCACAGCUGUAAUAUUAUUUUCCAUUCCUGAACCCUGUCUAUUUUCAGAAUGUCAUUCUUGCUAUUAUCCAAUGACAGCCUUUGGAGACCAGACAUACCAUAUGUCUGUCUUUUAGGGCAUCCAAGAUCUACUGGUCAAAUGUAAAGCCAUUGGAUGAUGUCAGAAAUCCUGUUAGAGCAGGCUAAGCAUGUCUGAGACACUUCACAGAAUUUUGUCCAGCUAUUAUUAAGAGUGGACAAAGAGAAAUAGUUUGCAGAACUAAUCAUAAAUCACAACGUUGUUUUGUUUUGGGGGGUAUUUUCUUUGCAUAACACAUUUAUUAGUCCUUCCCAUGCUAUUAACCUUAUAACUGCUGCCCUUAAUAAGAAAUGAGUAACUUAGACUGUUACAGAGCAGGAAAGAAAGAUAAUGAAACCGGAGGAACCACGGAUAAAUAAGAAUGCAGAGGAGAAUAGGGUUGAGCCUUGAGACUGUAAUAUGGGGAAAAUGAAACAAGGGAGAGGUAAACAUGCAUUAAAGAAAUGAGAAAGGUCAAAGAAAAUAAGAGAAGGAAGUAAAUGCAUAGGAGAGGGCUGGGCAGAAGAUUGGUGAAUAACUGUGUGCACUUAACACAUGCACAGGGAUAGAAACAACAUACAGGGUGGAAACAGAUGCACGUACAGACAUAGACAGACUCUUACAAACCACAAAGCCCCCACAACCACCAUCCUGGCAGCUUGGAGUUACCACUACCGUUUGUUUACACUUGGAAAAAAUGAUGUGCAUUAAAAUAGCAUACUUUUCUAGUGAAGGAACACGGAUCUUUUAUUUAUAUUUUCGGUUGGGUGGAAGAUUACUGCGCUUUUGGCAGAAACUUGUUUCACACAUAAAUUUACACACAAUUACAUUUGUGUUAGCAAUGAUCAUUUACAGCACGCACAAUGGGAAAAAUCUGUUCCUGAAUGAUUUUUUUUAAAUUAUUUACCACUCUUACAUAAUUAUGUACAUGCAACUUAAAAUGGCAGUAAAAUGCAUUUAUAGAAUAUAAUUUAACAUUUUACAAUCUUGUUUUAACAAGGGAAUGCUCCAUAUAAGAAUGUUAAUUUUUUUACAAUAUUUUUGUUUUCCUUCUUAAGGUUAAGGCCUAGAAAAAUCUGUAAAUUGAUAGACACAAAUGUGUCAUUUCUGCAAAUCAAUCAGUCGUACAAAGCUGAAGCCAUCGUUUG
rnacentral:lncRNA from 1 species